GACGAACGCUGGCGGCGUGCCUAAUACAUGCAAGUCGAACGCAGUGGGGACGGGUGAGUAACACCUGGGUAACCUCCCAUCAGAGGGGAUAACCCUUGGAAACAGGUGCUAAACCGAUACUGAUGGAUGGCCCCGCGGGGCAUUAGCUAGUUGGUGAGGUAACGGCUCACCAAGGCCACGAUGCAUAGCCGACCUGAGAGGCUGAUCGGCCACACUGGGACUGAGACACGGUCCAGACUUCUACGGGAGGCAGCAGUGGGGAAUGUUACGCAAUGGACGAAAGUCUGAUCGAGCAACGCCGCGCGAGUGAAGAAGGUUUUCGGAUCGUAAAACUCUGUUGUUAGAGAAGCGGUAUCUAACCAGAAAGCCACGGCUAACUACGUGCCAGCAGCCGCGGUAAUUC
rnacentral:rRNA from 1 species